rnacentral:rRNA from 1 species
CCUACGGGUGGCAGCAGUGAGGAAUAUUGGUCAAUGGGCUUACGCCUGAACCAGCCAAGUCGCGUGAGGGAAGACUGCCCUAUGGGUUGUAAACCUCUUUUGUCAGGGAGCAAUUGGCGCUACGUGUAGCGUUAUCGAGAUUACCUGAAGAAAAAGCAUCGGAUAACUCCGUGCCAGCAGCCGCGGUAAUACGGAGGAUGCGAGCGUUAUCCGGAUUUUUUGGGUUUAAAGGGUGCGUAGGCGGACUGCCAAGUCAGCGGUAAAAUCGCGGGGCUCAACCUCGCUCCGCCGUUGAAACUGGCGGUCUGGAGUGGGAGAGAAGUAUGCGGAAGGCGGGGUGUAGCGGUGAAAUGCAGAGAUAUCGCGCAGAACUCCGAUUGCGAAGGCAGCAUGCCGGCUCCCCACUGACGCGGAGGCACGAAAGCGUGGGUAUCGAACAGGAUUAGAGACCCGAGUAGUC